rnacentral:rRNA from 1 species
GAAAUGAGAAAGAGGCGUACGGGUGCGGAACACGUGUGCAACCUGCCUUUAUUUGGGGGAUAGCCUUUGAAAGGAAGAUUAAUACUCCAUAAUAUAUUGACGGCAUCAAUUAAUAUUGAAAGCUCCGGCGGAUAGAGAUGGGCACGCGCAAGAUUAGCUAGUUGGUGAGGUAACGGCUCACCAAGGCGAUGAUCUUUAGGGGGCCUGAGAGGGUGAUCCCCCACACUGGUACUGAGACACGGACCAGACUCCUACGGGAGGCAGCAGUGAGGAAUAUUGGUCAAUGGGUGCAAGCCUGAACCAGCCAUCCCGCGUGAAGGACGACUG